CUCCGGUUGAUCCUGCCGGACCCGACUGCUAUCAGAGUGGGACUAAGCCAUGCGAGUCAACGUAGCAAUACGUGGCAUACGGCUCAGUAACACGUAGUCAACAUGCCCAGGGGACGAGGAUAACCUCGGGAAACUGAGGAUAAACCUCGAUAGGCCAUGAUUUCUGGAAUGAUUCUUGGCUCAAACCUAUAUGGCCCCUGGAUUGGACUGCGGCCGAUCAGGCUGUUGGUGAGGUAAUGGCCCACCAAACCUAUUACCGGUACGGGCUCUGAGAGGAGGAGCCCGGAGAUGGGCACUGAGACAAGGGCCCAGGCCCUAUGGGGCGCAGCAGGCGCGAAACCUCUGCAAUAGGCGAAAGCUUGACAGGGUUACUCUGAGUGAUUUCCGCUAAGGGAAUCUUUUGGCACCUCUAAAAAUGGUGCAGAAUAAGGGGUGGGCAAGUCUGGUGUCAGCCGCCGCGGUAAUACCAGCACCCCGAGUGGUCGGGACGAUUAUUGGGCCUAAAGCAUCCGUAGCCGGUCCUGCAAGUCUUCCGUUAAAUCCAGCUGCUCAACAGAUGGGCUGCGGGAGAUACUACAGGGCUAGGAGGCGGGAGAGGCAAGCGGUACUUUAUGGGUAGGGGUAAAAUCCGCUGAUCCAUAGAAGACCACCAGUGGCGAAGGCGGCUUGCCAGAACGCGCUCGACGGUGAGGGAUGAAAGCUGGGGGAGCAAACCGGAUUAGAUACCCGGGUAGUCCCAGCUGUAAACGAUGCAGACUCGGUGAUGGGUUGGCCUCGCGCCUGCCCAGUGCCGCAGGGAAGCCGUUAAGUCUGCCGCCUGGGGCGUACGGUCGCAAGACUGAAACUUAAAGGAAUUGGCGGGGGACCA
rnacentral:rRNA from 1 species